CCUACGGGUGGCAGCAGUGAGGAAUAUUGGUCAAUGGACGAGAGUCUGAACCAGCCAAGUAGCGUGAAGGAUGACUGCCCUAUGGGUUGUAAACUUCUUUUAUAAGGGAAUAAAACGAGGCACGUGUGCCUUUUUGCAUGUACUUUAUGAAUAAGGAUCGGCUAACUCCGUGCCAGCAGCCGCGGUAAUACGGAGGAUCCGAGCGUUAUCCGGAUUUAUUGGGUUUAAAGGGAGCGUAGAUGGGUUGUUAAGUCAGUUGUGAAAGGUUGCGGCUCAACCGUAAAAUUGCAAUUGAUACUGGCAGUCUUGAGUACAGUUGAGGUAGGCGGAAUUCGUGGUGUAGCGGUGAAAUGCUUAGAUAUCACGAAGAACCCCGAUUGCGAAGGCAGCUUACUAAACUGUGACUGACAUUGAUGCUCGAAAGUGUGGGUAUCAAACAGGAUUAGAUACCCUUGUAGUC
rnacentral:rRNA from 1 species